CCGGCGCACGGGUGAGUAACACGUAUCCAACCUGCCGUCUACUCUUGGACAGCCUUCUGAAAGGAAGAUUAAUACAAGAUGGCAUCACGAGUCCGCAUGUUCACAUGAUUAAAGGUAUUCCGGUAGACGAUGGGGAUGCGUUCCAUUAGAUAGUAGGCGGGGUAACGGCCCACCUAGUCUUCGAUGGAUAGGGGUUCUGAGAGGAAGGUCCCCCACAUUGGAACUGAGACACGGUCCAA
rnacentral:rRNA from 1 species